rnacentral:tRNA from 1 species
UCGCCGUAGCCCGGUUCGCGGGCGCGGUAGUUGGCGACGAUCUGGUCCUCGUCGGGCUCGUCGAUGACGACGGC